UUUGGAAUAGUCUCCCGAUAAGCCUGAGAUUGACAGGGUUUUUGCAGCAGCCAAUAUUAGCCAAGGUCAGAUGGUGAGAUGGGCAGUCAGGUCUGAUGUUGGAACAUAGACUGUAUAAAAGAAGUGGACGUAGCCUCCGGGUCUGAAAAGAGAAGCCAAUGCCUCCACCCUCUUGUCCAAAUAUGGUCACUUCUGGCUCCAGAAAACCAAAACGCCAAACUCGAGGCUUCAAACCAGUAGUCCACAAACAAAUGGAUGACGUCACGGCAGCUAAGUCCACUUCUUUUGUACAGUCUAUGUGUGGUAAAGAUUUGUAGUUUGUUCAUUAGGUGUGUGUGUGUGUGUGUGUGUGUGUGUGUG